UUGAGAAUAUACCCCACUGGACAACAAACACACAGAGACUCAUUCACUCAUCUCUCAUUUGCUACUCCGGGAGAAAAGAGCUCUCAUCUGUUCAUCUGGUGAUAUUUUUUCAUUUCACAUCAAUUAAUGUCUGAUUUGGAUCAUCAGAGUUCCAGAAUGGGUUGGAAUUCUUGUUUUGUUUGGGAAUCUGGUGGAGAAGAACAUCAUCUUUUCAAACCCAGCAUAACGAUAUCUACUCUCAAUAUCCAAAAUUAAUCCUUCCGCUUCUUGUCACUGGUUGCGGAUCAGUAUGUUUACGAUGUUUUCAUCAUUCUUCGCCGCCCAAAUCUUUGUCAAGAUCUGUAGCAGAGAAAAGAUCACACUGAAAAUUAUAAGAUCCAAAAUAGCCCUUGCAUCUUCACAUUUCAGCAGAAAGUGGGUUCCAAAUAAUAUAUGAGAAGGCUGAUGGAAGUUUGGUGUCCAGAAGAUCUUAACAACAUUGGAACAGCUGACAAACAUUAACUGAUAACGAUACUGCUACGAUGUUUGAGCAAAUUCAACAGGAAAGCAUGUGGAUCACUCGAACUUAUGUUGUUCAUGGAGAAGUCACAAUGUCUGCGUGACAAGAAAAGGAACAUCAACUUAUUGGAUAGGCCUUCUUAGUUGAUGAAGUUUUAGCAGCCAAGAAAAGAAGAAAUACAAGUUGGGUUUCAUAUGUGGAUACGUCCGGAGCUUCGUGGUCAAGCAUGAAUUGUGCUUACUGAAAGUUAUUCAGCUGCUAGUAAUGCAGCAAGCCAGAUGCAAAGCUUCCCGUUUCAUGACAAACCUUUUUCUUUUUGGUGUUAAGUUUUGCGAUAAACCUAUGGAUACAUGAUUAACUUGUUUCAGAGGAUACAAUAUACAAAAACAAGGUCAGAAUGUGUUAAAACUGAAGAUGAGAAGAAAAACCGGAUAGAAAACGAAUGGCUUAAUAUAUGCUGGAAGCUGGUGCUAGAGCUAAUGGUGCAAGUGCAACUACUCAGAAUAGUGGUGGAUCCACCGUGCUCCUUUCGGCCCGGGAAAAUCUGGCGCAAGAUUCUGAUUCAGCUGCAAACUACAUACUGUGCAACCAGAAUCCCCCACAUGCCAGAUGCUGCAAUUGCUUUUCCAACAAUACCCUGCCUUUUAAAGAAACUCGAAUAAUCGUCAAUUGCCAUGCAGGCACUUCAGGCCAUCAGCUGUGCCAAGUAGUAGAUCAACAGCUUUAUCUAGUCAGAGAGCCUUUUUUUUGUUCCGUUUUCUGAAGUUGACGUCCUAUGGGUUUUGUCUAGUGGGCCUCAUAGUUGUCAACUGGGCCUCUUUAGACUAAGAGGCCUAGAUACUCGCCCGUCCCAAAAAUAACUAAGCAAAAUAAAAAUAAAUUAGGGACAUAUCUACCAUACACUAGGAAACUCUAAAACUGAGGUUACCUAAUUAGAGUAGGAAUUUUAUUUUUGUUUGGAAUAUUUCUACCUCUUACCAAGAAUAGUGCACCAUGAAGCCUAUAAAUAUAGGCAUAAGCACAGCAGCAAAUUAAUAUUUGUAGAACAACCUUGAAAGGCAGCUUUGAAGUAAUCUGACGAUGACGAUUUCUAUGGUUUCAGAGUCUUCAUCAGCAUCAACUGAAUCAUCUUCUUCUUCUGUUAUAGAGAAAGUAAUUAGUGACGUUAAACUGUUGAAACUUAUUUUGACAUGCCUACCUGUGAGAUCACUCCUUGUAGUCAAGUCAGUAUCUAAAACAUGGUAUUCUGUCAUCGGUGACCGAGAUUUUGCUGUUGCUCAGUUACGGCGAUACAAGCCUACUGGACUUUUCCUUGAAAGAAAGGCUGCUACUCCUAUUUUCAAAGCUGGUGAUGAUGGACGUAGCUAGGAAGGAGGUGCACGGAGUCAUACUUUGGCCGGGCUGUUUUUUUUUUUUCCUCGAUGCUCCUAUUGGAGGUGCAUGGGGGCAUCUUUAUCAUUAUAUCGAGUCACUUGCGAGUGCUCGAUUCUAUCAACUGUAGCAUUUAAAUUUGCUAAACUGUUAUGUUUGAAUUUAUAAACUCGAGCAUUUAAA